rnacentral:rRNA from 1 species
AGAGUUUGAUCCUGGCUCAGGAUGAACGCUGGCGGCGUGCCUAAUACAUGCAAGUCGAGCGAACAGACGAGGAGCUUGCUCCUUUGACGUUAGCGGCGGACGGGUGAGUAACACGUAGGUAACCUACCUAUAAGACUGGGAUAACUUCGGGAAACCGGAGCUAAUACCGGAUAAUAUUUCGAACCGCAUGGUUCGAUAGUGAAAGAUGGCUUUGCUAUCACUUAUAGAUGGACCUGCGCCGUAUUAGCUAGUUGGUAAGGUAACGGCUUACCAAGGCAACGAUACGUAGCCGACCUGAGAGGGUGAUCGGCCACACUGGAACUGAGACACGGUCCAGACUCCCUACGGGAGGCAGCAGUAGGGAAUCUUCCGCAAUGGGCGAAAGCCUGACGGAGCAACGCCGCGUGAGUGAUGAAGGUCCUUCGGAUCGUAAAACUCUGUUAUUAGGGAAGAACAAACGUGUAAGUAACUGUGCACGUCUUGACGGUACCUAAUCAGAAAGCCACGGCUAACUAAGGUUCAAA